AACGAACGCUGGCGGCAUGCCUAACACAUGCAAGUCGAACGAGACCUUCGGGUCUAGUGGCGCACGGGUGCGUAACGCGUGGGAACCUGCCCUUAGGUUCGGAAUAACUCUCCGAAAGGGGUGCUAAUACCGGAUAAUGUCUUCGGACCAAAGAUUUAUCGCCUUUGGAUGGGCCCGCGUUGGAUUAGCUAGUUGGUAGGGUAAAAGCCUACCAAGGCGAGGAUCCAUAGCUGGUCUGAGAGGAUGAUCAGCCAAACUGGGACUGAGACACGGCCCAGACUCCUACGGGAGGCAGCAGUGGGGAAUAUUGGACAAUGGGCGAAAGCCUGAUCCAGCAAUGCCGCGUGAGUGAUGAAGGCCUUAGGGUUGUAAAGCUCUUUUACACGGGAUGAUAAUGACAGUACCGGGAGAAUAAGCUCCGGCUAACUCCGUG
rnacentral:rRNA from 1 species